GACGAACGCUGGCGGCGUGCCUAAUACAUGCAAGUCGAGCGAACGGACGAGAAGCUUGCUUCUCUGAUGUUAGCGGCGGACGGGCGAGUAACACGUGGAUAACCUACCUAUAAGACUGGGAUAACUUCGGGAAACCGUAGCUAAUACCGGAUAAUAUUUUGAACCGCAUGGUUCAAAAAUGAAAGACGGUCUUGCUGUCACUUAUAGAUGUAUCCGCGCUUCUUUAGCUAGUUGGUAAGGUAACGGCUUAUCAAGUCUACGAUGCAUAGCCGACCUAAUAGAGUGAUCGGCCAUCCCAGAACUGAGACACCGUCCAGACUCCUACGGCAGGCAGCAGUAGGGAAUCUUCCGCAGUAGGAGGAAGCAUGCCGGAGCAACGCCGCGUGAGUGAUGCAGGGCUUAGGAGCGUAAAACUCUGUUAUUAGGGAAGACCAUAUGUGUAAGUAACUGUGCACAUCUUGGCGGUACCUAACCAGAAAGCCAAGGCUAACUACGUG
rnacentral:rRNA from 1 species